UAGACAUAAAAUUACCCACACUGCAGAGAAACCUUAUGAAUGUCAGGAAUGUGGGGAAGCCUUCCGUUAUCCUGUUGCUUUUCGUAGACAUAAAAUUACCCACUUUUGCAUGUGAGGUCAUAAAUUUAGGGAGCAGGUAGAAAAUUAUUGCUUUAUUUGUCCCCUGAAAUUCAUAUUAUUAUUAUUUUUUUGAGAGAGUUUUGCUCUUGUUGCCUAGGCUGGAGCGCAAUGGCACAAUCUUGGCUCAAUGCAACCUCCACCUCCUGGUUUCAAGUGAUUCUCCUGCCUCAGCCUCCCAAGUAGCUGAGACUGUAGGCAUACGCCACCGUACCCGGCUAAUUUUUUGUAUUUAGUAGAGACAAGGUUUCACCAUGUUGGUCAGGCUGGUCUCCAACUCCUGACCUCAGGUGAUCCAUGCACCUCGGCCUCCCAAAGUGCUGGGAUUAUAGGGAUGCGCCACCACGCCCAGCCCUGAAAUUCAUAUUUUGAAACCUUACUCCCUAAUGUAUGGA
rnacentral:lncRNA from 1 species